CCUACGGGAGGCAGCAGUGGGGAAUAUUGCACAAUGGGGGAAACCCUGAUGCAGCGACGCCGCGUGAGUGAAGAAGUAUUUCGGUAUGUAAAGCUCUAUCAGCAGGGAAGAAAAUGACGGUACCUGAUUAAGAAGCCCCGGCUAACUACGUGCCAGUAGCCGCGGUCAUACGUAGGGGGCAAGCGUUAUCCGGAUUUACUGGGUGUAAAGGGAGCGUAGACGGCAGCACAAGUCUGGAGUGAAAUGCCGGGGCUUAACCCCGGAAAUGCUUUGGAAACUGUGCAGCUAGAGUGCAGGAGAGGGAAGUGGAAGUCCUAGUGUAGCGGUGAAAUGCGUAGAUAUUAGGAGGAACACCAGGGGCGAAGGCGGCUUACUGGACUGUAACUGACGUUGAGGCUCGAAAGCGUGGGGAGCAAACAGGAUUAGAUACCCUAGUAGUC
rnacentral:rRNA from 1 species